rnacentral:lncRNA from 1 species
CGAUCAUGCCGGCGGAGCCAUACACGUGUGGCCAGCCGGUGCCCAGCGAGCUGCCCAUGGUAGUCAACUGGUUGGGGAGCGGGUAGGCAGCGGGCACCGGCUGCAUGGCGGAGAAGGCCAGCCCCCCAGGCAUCUUGUAUUCCCGCGCGAUGAUGUUCUCGAUGGCGAAGGGGUGCUUGAAGCCCGAGGGCUGCGCCACGCCGCCCAAGUUGUAGGCGGCGGCGGGCAUCUGUGGCAGGUGCGUGCCCGAGGCCGCCAGCGCGCUGAGCCGCAGCUUGGCCUGCUGCUGCAGGUACUGCGCCGCGUCGGCUGGCUUGCUGGGCGCCAGGUGGUCGGACUUAAGCACCUUGAAGCGCUUGCGGCGCCGCAGGAAGCUGCCGUUCUCGAACAUGUCCCCGCAGCUUGGGUGCAGCGCCCAGAAGCUGCCCUUGCCUGGCUGGUCCGGCCGCCGCGGGAUCUUGAUGAAGCAGUCGUUGAAGGAGAGGUUGUGGCGCAGACUGUUCUGCCAGCGCUGCGUGUUCUCCCUGUAGUAGGGGAAGCGGUCCAUGAUGAACUUGUAGAUCUCGCUCAGCGGCAGCAUCUUCUCGGGAGAGCUCUGGAUGGCCAUAGCGGUCAGCGAGAUGUACGAGUAGGGCGGCUUCUGGUCGCCUGCGGGCGGCCGAGCUCGGCUGCGGAGUCCCGGCGCGGAUGGUGGCAGCGACGUGUUAGGGCUCCGGAGGGCGCUGCUGUGGGCUCCGCGUCUCCGCUGAGCUAGAUAGGAAUCACUUCCAGCUCAAGACUGGGCGAGGGGGAAGAGCCUCGGCCACUGGGCAGGCAGCUGGACGCGCCGGCCGGUGUGCGCCGUGUGAAGGUAUGAGGAAGCGGCCGCCGCGGAAGAGGGAGCCAGGCGACCACUCACGUUCACAGAUGGAGCAGCCGCGCGGAUGAUGUUUGACAUGGAAAUUGCUUGGCUGGGGUAUUCUGUUUCCUCUGCGUUGUAUCCGGUUUGUAUCGUUAGGUAACUUUAGGCACGGCUUUCCCCUGAAGCCGACCCUUUUCCUGCGCUUAGCACUACCCGGGGUUGGUUGCAUGGGUUAUAAUAAUGAAAACACACCCUUGCCCCCCAGUCCCCGGAGAGUUAGGUCGAAAUUUGACUUGACUUUCCUAUGCAGCUGCUUCAGCUUUGUAUAGUUAGUGUGUAGCUUUGAAAAAGUGAUGGGGUUUACAAAUACUUUCAAAAUGUGAUUGGACAUCCCCAUGUAAGAACCCAUUUUGAAUGUAACUGUAUUGACCAAAUUUUUAAAAAUUAAAAUAGUGUAUCUGGGCGAAGAGUCCAGGUAUUUGCUUUAAAAGUCCUCCGGGAAUUUGGUUGGA